UGCAAACUUUCAGCUGCCCCCUCGCAGCCCUCCCACGCACCCCCCGCCCUCCAGGUCCAGGCUCCAAGUUCAAACUCAGAAGUGACUAAGCGCACGUUUCCCAAAACAAGCUAGAAAGUGCUUAUACCACUUUUCUUGAUACUCCACCAAGCCCUCCCCACACCUUCUAGGCACUGCUCCCAGGGCCUUCAUAAUUCUACUGAGAACAAGAAGGGGGCUCGGAAACGGAGCUCCAGAGUCCUCGACACAUUGUUUUCCCUCAUAAAAAUAACGGUUUAUGUGUGCGCCUUUUGCCUUCACUUCUCGUAUGUGCUUAACCGUGCGUGCCCCUGUUGCAGAAGAGGUUAUAAGAGGACGCCAGAUCUCCAGGAACUACAGUCACCAAAGGCUGCAAGCCACUAGGUCCAGGAGGUGACCGUACACAACCUGUGGGCCACUUGGAGUCCACCCACCCGGAGUCUCUACUGCUUGAAGAACACUCAGUCACACUCCUGACUUCAUGAGGCUGCUCUUGCCCCAUGCUGGAUGGUUAAUCUUCACUCAUAACUUGGAGCUGGAGUGACCUAGGACACGUACCACUGGACUUGAUACCAACGGAUGGAAGCAAAGGGUCACCUUGCCCAACAGUCUGAGGAUACCAUUCAUCGCGGCAGAGAGGCCAUGAUGGUAGGAACGUGAAGCGGCUGAUCACAUCGCAUCUGUGGUCAGGAAGUAGACAGCCAUGAAUCCGACGGCUCAGCUAACCAUCUCCACUUUUCCAUAGUCCAGGGCCGGGGGGAAAGCUGCCACCUACAUCCCAGUUGGCCUAGUGAAGACAACCCUCCCAGACAUGCCCAGAGAUCUGUCUCUAGGGUGAGUCUCAGUCUUGACAAUUGACAACUGGCAUAAGCUAUCAGUCAUCACUUAAAGUGCCAUAUUUCAUGUGUCCUUCACAUAAACAGUGCUACACAUUAGAUGUUGGGACAAAGCAAACAGAUGAAAUGCUGUAGCCUGGUGAAAGGCAACUGUUUUCAGAGCACAGUUAGUCUUUGGACAGCUCUUACCAGAAUGCUGCUUCCUCUGAUGGCUUCUGUCACACAUCAACCAUUUUAUCCUAAAUUAAAAAGCAUUUGUGAAUUGGUGUGAUGGAGGGCCGAGAUAAAUCUUCAUUGGUGAAAUUAUUAGUACUCAGGAUAUGGGGACUGGCUGAAGGCACAGUAAGAUGAUAGUCUUGCUGUGGCAUGAACAGGGCGUGAAAACCCAUGUCCUUUGGAGUCAAGCCAGAACCUCAAGUACCCAAUCCCAUGUUUGGUUGGUUUUGGAAUCUUACAUUCAUCUGAAAUUAACUGUUCCACACUGCUAGAGAGAUUGCUAUCCAGAGCAUGUACAACAGUGGCCAAGGGGGGGGGUCCUUCAUUUUUAUUUAUAGCAGACUUUCCUUGCUGGCUUGUUAAUAAACAUGGGUACAUGUGGCCAAAUUCCAUCUGAGACUUUCCCCUUUACAUGUUGCCUGGCAGCAGGGUUUGGGGAGACCUUGAAUCCUUCACUUUUGGUAUCUCCCACCUACCACACUCAAUCCAGUCAUACACCUUGUGACAAUCUGGUCUUGCUUCAUGCAGAAUAGUUCUCUGCAUGCUAAGAGCAAACGCAAAGACUACUUGGUAGUGAAACACUUGGGCGUUGGUUGGUGUGUCAGAGGUGAAGAAUGCACAGUGUGAUUCCUGUUUCUUGCAGAGGGACUUGUGCAACUCUCAAGGGAUGCUAAUGAUUAACCUGCCAGCUCACUGGAAAGCUUGUGCCACUUGGACCUUCGGGCAUUUCAAAGGCUGCCUUUUUGCUGAAGUUGACAAUGAACCCAUUCCUUAAUGUUUGGAAUUGCCGCUGCAAAUACUUAUCUCCAAGAUAUAAUAAAAUCAAAGCAACCUCUCCCAGUUAGUUUUUUCUGCACCUAACGGGCUAUCAGAGCCUACUGGCUCCUUGGGAAUCCAAAGGAAGUUGCUCGGGGGAGCUACCUUUACCAUCCCUCCUUAUCAUUUUGCCUCCACACAUCAAACAAUGUCCUGAAAAACAGUUGCAUCACUAUGCUAUUUGCACUUAAUACGUAACAUAUUAUGUGACUUGUUCCAUGAAUGCCUUCACUAUUCCAUUCUUUUUUUCAUCUCUGCCACCUGCCCCUAAUGAAAUGUGUUCGCUUCUUUCAUGAUAACAUUCCCACACUUCAAGAUAUUUUCCGUGGCACUGGGGAGAUGGCUCUGUGGAUAAGAGAGCCCAGGCUCGGAUCCUCAGCACCGUGUAAGAGGAUGGGUGUGGCUGCACAGGUUCCUGAGGAGUGGGUGAGGCAUGGCAGCAAGAGGCCCUCUGGGACUCACAGAUUAACAGGUAGAUUCAGUGAGAGACCGUGUCUGGAGGGGAUCAUGUGGACACUGAAUAGAACAUACCUGAUGCCCUCCUCUGGCCUCCAAAUGUGCAUGGGCUCAUGUGCCAUCCCUCCUUACCCCUCUUGUAUGUAUACAAUACACACAUACACACACAAACACACACACACGCGCACACACAUACACACACCAGUUGUUUAUCUCCAAUUAUGGGAUACUUUUGAGAUGUGCUUCUAUUCACCAACCAUCUUUAUAAGAUUCCUCCCUGGGAAAGCCUGUACAGAGAGUAACGGUUUGGACCACCUGUCCUUACCCCACAUACUUGCACAGCAGAUCUAGGAUUUGGAUAUGGCUGCAUGGGAGAGUAACUGUGAAUAGACAACUUCACGGCUUUUGGUGGACACAUGAACAUCUCCUUAGAGGAUUCAGAAGACAUUUGUUCUAGAACAGCACCAGGCAAGUAACCAGGAAGAGUCACGCAAAAGGGAGACAAUCUCACUCUGCUAUAGAGUGCCUCCUGGGUGGCUCCCAUGUCCAAGCCUUUACAGACUGGGUCUCAAAACAAUGCAUAGCCUUCAACACCAUGUCCCACAUUUGUCCAUGAUUUCUUUGCAGAUUCUGUUUAAGGGUUCCCUUUCUGGAGAUCCAGAUAACCCUUAGGAAGGAAAGCAUUGUCUUUGCACAAUCAAGAGAAUGAGCCUUCAUCCAUCUGCGUCCAGCACGAAAUUUUACUAGUUUGCCAUCUAGAGUUCAAGACAUUGGCAUAAGAAUGAAAGGCGAUCCUGGCUCCACCAAACCUCAGACUGUAACCUCUUCUCAGCAUGGCUGGAGAAUCCUGAGACUGAAUGUCUUCCUAUCCUCGGUGUGGCUGGAGUAUGAAUCCCUGAUAAUGACUGCUGAAGACCCUGCUCCUAUCUCUUAUACCCCUCUAGUUCUGGGACUAAAGGCGUGUGAUCCCAGGUGCUGAGAGCAUCUUUGU